rnacentral:lncRNA from 1 species
CGGCUUUUUGGUGUGGGGGUAUGCCACGGUUUAUAUUUUCUUAAGCCAACAGUCUAAUUAGUUUGCUAGCUCCCCCUUCUCAUAAAGCUUGGUUACAAAAGGUUGGGAAGGAGCCACCGAGUGCCAGCAUCAGAGGCAGCUGUAGCAAAAAACAAGGAUCUCUGGGGGAUGUUAAAACUAGCUGAAGAAAAAGGAAAAGUUGGGGAUGUGGGGGAGGAGAGGAAGGCCAUUCAUUCAAAUUAAUAAAACAAUCUCACACCUUUUAACAUCAGCACACUUAUAUAUUAGUCUAGGUGGAAGCUACCCUUAUUUUGAAAUUAUAUGACAGAUAAAUUCUAGGAACAGAGAAGCUUUUAAGAGUUUGCUUCUAAGCUAAUUAUCCUGCCAUAUGAGUAAAUAUUUAAAGAAAUAAUCACUAUCAUCGAACAUUUCACAUCUUUGCUCUACUUGGUUACGUGGGCUCUGUGAUCUGAUCCCAACCAUUUUCUCAAAAUGCGCUCCCUCCCCUCUGCCUCCACAGAGGUGAGUUUUUCUCCCUUUACCAUUCUUAUCCCUUUUGACUACCAACCACAUCAAGUCUUUCCUUCUUCUCACUCCUGAACUAAUGCAACAUCUUGCAGCAUCAGUCACCUUCCCAUGGCUUCCUAACGACAUGGCUUCUAACCAUCCCACUCCACUGAGGAAUCAGAACUGUCGAAGGCCACAUACAAUUUCCCAAGGAAGAACUCCUGAUGACAAAUUUCAUUUAAUCUUCAUAGCAAUCUCAUGUAAUCUGUAUAGCAACCUCAUGAGGUAUGUAUGCUUUAUUAUAUCCCCAUUUUAAGGAUAAGGAAAUGGAGGCUUAUGGAUUUUAAAUAAUUUGUUUGAGGGCACAUAGUUAAAAGAGUUGGAGUCAGUGUUAUAACCCAGGUCACUGGCCAGUUUCAAACGCUAUGUCAAAUCUAUUCCAAGUAAUUUGGUCCUCUUAGAAAUUGUGCAUUUCCACAAAAAUAAACUCAAAAUGGCUGAAAGACUUAAAUAUACG